GCUUGUGCUCAGUUGCUAGAGAGCAUGAGACUCUUAAUCUCAGGGUUGCAGGUUUGAGCCCCACGUUGGGCA